rnacentral:rRNA from 1 species
UGGGGAAUUUUGCGCAAUGGGGGAAACCCUGACGCAGCAACGCCGCGUGAGUGAUGAAGGCCUUCGGGUCGUAAAGCUCUGUCAGAGGGAAAGAAGUGUAGGAGGGUUAAUAACCCUUUUACUUGACGGUACCCUCAAAGGAAGCACCGGCUAACUCCGUGCCAGCAGCCGCGGUAAUACGGAGGGUGCAAGCGUUGUUCGGAUUUAUUGGGCGUAAAGCGCGUGUAGGCGGUUUUUUAAGUCUGAUGUGAAAGCCCUGGGCUCAACCCGGGAAGUGCAUUGGAAACUGGGAGACUUGAAUACGGGAGAGGGUAGUGGAAUUCCUGGUGUAGGAGUGAAAUCCGUAGAUAUCAGGAGGAACACCGGUGGCGAAGGCGGCUGCCUGGACCGAUAUUGACGCUGAGACGCGAAAGCGUGGGGAGCAAACAGGAUUAGAUACCCUGGUAGUCCACGCCGUAAACGAUGAGUACUAGGUGUCGCGGGUAUUGACCCCUGCGGUGCCGCAGCUAACGCAUUAAGUACU